CUGUUUAUUAAAAACACAGCACUGUGCAAACACGAAAGUGGACGUAUACGGUGUGACGCCUGCCCGGUGCCGGAAGGUUAAUUGAUGGGGUUAUCCGUAAGGAGAAGCUCUUGAUCGAAGCCCCGGUAAACGGCGGCCGUAACUAUAACGGUCCUAAGGUAGCGAAAUUCCUUGUCGGGUAAGUUCCGACCUGCACGAAUGGCGUAAUGAUGGCCAGGCUGUCUCCACCCGAGACUCAGUGAAAUUGAACUCGCUGUGAAGAUGCAGUGUACCCGCGGCAAGACGGAAAGACCCCGUGAACCUUUACUAUAGCUUGACACUGAACACUGGUCCUUGAUGUGUAGGAUAGGUGGGAGGCUUUGAAGUGUGGACGCCAGUCUGCAUGGAGCCAUCCUUGAAAUACCACCCUUUAAUGGCUGGUGUUCUAACGUAGACCCGUAAUCCGGGUUGCGGACAGUGUCUGGUGGGUAGUUUGACUGGGGCGGUCUCCUCCUAAAGAGUAACGGAGGAGCACGAAGGUUAGCUAAUCCUGGUCGGACAUCAGGAGGUUAGUGCAAAGGCAUAAGCUAGCUUGACUGCGAGAGUGACGGCUCGAGCAGGUGCGAAAGCAGGUCUUAGUGAUCCGGUGGUUCUGAAUGGAAGGGCCAUCGCUCAACGGAUAAAAGGUACUCCGGGGAUAACAGGCUGAUACCGCCCAAGAGUUCAUAUCGACGGCGGUGUUUGGCACCUCGAUGUCGGCUCAUCACAUCCUGGGGCUGAAGUAGGUCCCAAGGGUAUGGCUGUUCGCCAUUUAAAGUGGUACGCGAGCUGGGUUUAGAACGUCGUGAGACAGUUCGGUCCCUAUCUGCCGUGGGCGCUGGAGAAUUGAGGGGGGCUGCUCCUAGUACGAGAGGACCGGAGUGGACGCAUCACUGGUGUUCGGGUUGUCAUGCCAAUGGCAUUGCCCGGUAGCUAAAUGCGGAAGAGAUAAGUGCUGAAAGCAUCUAAGCACGAAACUUGCCCCGAGAUGAGUUCUCCCUGACCCUUUAAGGGUCCUGAAGGAACGUUGAAGACGACGACGUUGAUAGGUCGGGUGUGUAAGUGUAGCGAUACAUUGAGCUAACCGAUACUAAUGAACCGUGAGGCUUAACCUU
rnacentral:rRNA from 1 species